GAUUUUCUCUUCCAACUGAUGUGAUGUAGCAAGAUGAGCAACAAAAGAAGAAUCCCAAGAUAAUCACGUAAUUAUGUUAGGAGAGAUUCUCAGUUCAAUCUAAUCCUGUCUAAACAGGCUGAAAGAAAUUAGUCACUCAGAAUUAUAUAAAAGGCUCUAUUGAGUUUCCACGAGAGGAUUUGGGAAGCUAUUUUCUAUUACUGAAAUAACAACUGAUUUUCCAGUCUUGCAAUGGUAAACAACAGACCCUGGAGUUUGAGGACAACACCAAGGUACUGCCAUACUUGAGGUGGAGAUGGCGUUUCUCAGCCAGUAUCGUACUGAAUAGGCAAAAGCUGGAAGCAGUCCCUUUGAAAACCAGCACAAGACAACGAUGACCUCUCUCACCACUCCUAUUCAACAUAGUAUUGGAAGCUCUGGCCAGAGCAUUCAGCCAAUCUUGGCAGAUUGAGGUACUGCAAAAAUCAUGAGCAGAAGACUUUAUGCCAUUGAAUGCCAUUGAGACGGUCAAUGUAACAAAGGACAGCUGUUUGUUUUUCUUCUGCUUUUCAUGGGCCAGUAUCAACUAAAGAUUGUCAGUUUUUAAGACCUUACUUAAGGAUGCAAUGAUUAGUAAAGAAAAUUCAAC
rnacentral:lncRNA from 1 species